AGUCCCUGAGCGCUCAUCAGGGCUUCCUCCCGGGAGCUGGCUGGCCAACACUGACCAGCUCACCACUGCUCCGAGUCCUUGCUACACAAGGGGAAUGAAGAAACGGACAGGAUAUGAAUUCUGCAGCCCAGGCAGGGGGAGGGUGCAGAAGAGAAAGCACCCAUGCACACACAUGCACGCGCUCCUUCUUCCGGCUGCAGGAAGCCCUUUGAGACAGAUGGCUUGUGCUGGGCUUGUUUCUUGGCUGCAGCGGAGAAGUCAUUACCGGGCACGGGGACGGGUCCGCAGGAUGGCAUCCUGGGCAGCAGCCAGCACAGGCCCUUCCUCCGCAGAAUUCUAAGCCCUCCAUCUGCAGCGAGUUCAGUCUGGCAGAUGCUCCACCUGGCAGUGCGGACCGAGGAUGGCGGGCACAGGCCAAAGAGGUGACGUGUGCCCUGCCUGUCUGUGCCCCAGGGAAGCGCUCGCCAAGUGAGACCAGCAUCUAGCAGCAAGCCCGCGUGCUGAGCCGAGCACUAUUUUUAGCUGCUAAUGGGGACACACCAGCCUGGGAAGAAAACAGGGGCAGAAGCAGUCCUCUGGAAUGAAACGGGAUGGAGCUUUGAGGGCCGAAAGUGAGCUCCAGGUAUGGCAACGUCUCUGUUUUCCCGGUGUAUUAGAGGUCAGCAGGCACCGCCCACCCCCAGCACCCCAGGGAUCUCUCUCUACUCGGAGCCAUGCCCUUGGCAGUUCCUAAUUGCUCAGCUGUGACCAGUGGGGUCCAGGCAUCCCCCAUUCAGGUGUUGAAGGGGUCAGCGAGGCCCCUGUGAUGAUGCCACUGUGCCCGUGGGCCCAACAGGCCGAGGAGGCUCAGGAAGACAGUGACUUCCCCCAAGGAAUUCGAGAGCGGGUCUUCUCUGGCUUCGCUGUGAGCAACGGCAAGACCCCCUGGGACUGACCAUUGAUCCUGGAGACAUUACUCCAUAAAAGAUCAUGGAAACGUUUAUUUCUGGAAACCUUCUAUUAGAGUUUAGUUUAAAACAUUGCCAUAAAUAUGACCCGACACCGUCACGAGGCUACCUACAUAUUUGAUGGCGUCCCAGUCAUUUCGGGGUCCCCAGGACCGGGGGCAGUGCCCGACACACAGGAGCUGGCCUGGAAAUGUUUUUGCACAAAGGUAUGCACAACACAAAGCGGGUUACUUCUCAUUACGUCCUUCCAAGGAAGGUGACAUCUGAGAAAAAUAGGACUUCCCGUUGGCACGACAGAAGUCAGAGACGUGUUCAGUCCCACUGUGACCCAGGUGCUAGGAAUGGAGAGGUGAAGAACCUUCAAAAUACAGCACGUGCAGGGGCCCCAGUUGGCUCAGCCCAUGAAGCGUCUGCGUUCGGCUCAGCCCAUGAAGCGUCUGCGUUCGGCUCAGGUCAUGGUCCCAGGGUCCUGGAAUCGAGUCCUGUAUCCGGCUCUCUGCUCAGCGGGGAGUCUGC